rnacentral:lncRNA from 1 species
ACACUUCUAAAUGACACCAGCUUUUACAGAUGACAGAUGUAUGUAUUCCAUUUUCAUCUUAUUGUUAAGGGGUUUGGUAGUUUUUUUUCUUAAAGCAUUAUUUAUCAUGUUAUCUGACAUUAUUUAUAUACGUCCUUAAUGCUGCAAACCUUCUUUGAUCAUUUGGGCAUAUUCUUUUUUAAAAAUUUGAGCUAAAUAGCUUACAGAGAUUAUUACACAGAAGAAAAGCAUCUUUAAUCUUCUUAGAGGUUAGUAUUAAGACCUGAUAAAAGUGAAUCUUUUAACUUUUUUGAUAUUGGAAAUACUGUUUCUCACAUUUUCCAUUACUAUCU